AGCAGCCGCGGUAAUUCCAGCUCCAAUAGCGUAUAUUAAAGUUGUUGCAGUUAAAAAGCUCGUAGUUGAAUUUCGGGGUUAGUAGGUCGGUCAUGCCUCAGGUAUGCACUGGUCUCACUGAUUCCUCCUUCCUGAUGAGCCGUAAUGCCAUUAAUUUGGUGUUGCGGGGAAUCUGGACUAGUUACUUUGAAAAAAUUAGAGUGUUUAGAGCAGGCUAACGCUUGAAUACAUUAGCAUGGAAUAAUGGAAUAGGACGUUCGAUCCUAUUUUGUUGGUUUCUAGGAUUGACGUAAUGAUUAAUAGGGAUAGUUGGGGGCAUUAGUAUUCAAUUGUCAGAGGUGAAAUUCUUGGAUUUAUUGAAGACUAACUACUGCGAAAGCAUUUGCCAAGGAUGUUUACAUUAAUCAAGAACGAAAGUUAGGGGAUCGAAGACGAUCAGAUACCGUCGUAGUCUUAACCAUAAACUAUGCCGACUAGGGAUCGGAUGAUGUUAAUUUUUUAAUGUACUCAUUC
rnacentral:rRNA from 1 species